GAUUGGCUUCAAUUUACAUAAUGGUGGAACGCUGAGAAAGUGAGGCCUCAACUGCUUUCCAUUUCUCUGCCGAGCCGAUUAGAUAGGUUUAUGGAUUUGAAACAUGUGCGAGGCAUUGAUUUUAUUUAUUUCAUUAUUCAUUCAUUGGUCUAUUGCACCCGGGAACAAGAAAGCUGUCGGUCUGCGACAAUCACGAGGCGAACAUUUUCUCCUGUCCUGGACUACGCUUAGCGCCGGAAUCCAAUUUGUGUUUGGAAUGAGAAAACUGUUUCAUCCGCAGGUGCAGACCUCUGAAAGAUACACAAAUGCACGUACACAUGCACACACGUCAAUGUCGGGGACUUGUUACUCGUAUGUUAUUGUACAUUUAAAUAGGCAACCCGGCGGUAAGAACAAGUGAAUAACCAAUAACAAUUUGAUCAUUUCGCUUCUCACAUUUUCGAGACCUCCAUUUCGGGGCUUGCUUUCUAUCUCCACCUCUUCCCAUUCUGACUUUGUUUUUGGUUUAUCCAUGUUAACGUUCUUAUCAUCUGCUACUAUAUCAUUAUGCUGCAGUGACAGAGUUGAAAUGAGACAAAAAGUCUACACCCAUUCUUGCAGCGGUGGAAGACUGUACUUGUUGCUUCAAGCUAAAUGCUAUUGUCAUGCAUGCUGACAUGCUCAUACUGACGGCGUUAAAGCUCUAGCGUGCAGAUAUUUGUGGGAUUUAAGGGCAGAAAUGGAGUAUAAUGUUCACAAUUGUGUUUUUAUUGGUGUAUAAUCACCUGGAACUAAGAACCGGUAUUUUUUUGUUACCUUAAAAUGAGCCCUUCAUGCCUGCACAGGGCGCAGGUCCACCAUGUUGCACAGCCAUGUUCUUCAGUAGCCAAAUGGACAAACCUAGUUCCUUUAGCAUGCUGUGCUGCAGUGAUAGCGUUGCAUAACACUGAUUAAAUCCAGUUCUUUUUGCUCCCUGGCUUAAAUAAAUGUGUUCAAGACCUUCCUUGCUAUAUUAGAGUUAAUGUAAGCCUUUCCCAAGGUAUUGUGUAACGUGCGUCAAACAGCAAUAUUAGCUAGGAAGUGGUUAAAUGCUACCGUGAGCUGUUGUCUCAGCUAAUGGGUCAUCUUUCAGUUGCUCAAUCAGGAAACAGUUAAAUGAUUGCGAAACAAAAGGCAUAAAUAGACUCCACAACAACAACAACACAAAUCUUGGACACAUUAAUUUAAGUGUGAAGUGUGCUCGUGUUAGCUAAUGGGUUAUCAAAUAUGUUGUUUCACCCUGAAAUACGGCCCCAUGUCCCUCCAGAUUUUGGCUAUCCACCGUCUUUUCAGUUGCUGGUCAACUGGGAAGCGGAGAAAUAACAACAAUUUCUCAGGUACCCUACAUUUUUAAGACUUGCAACUUGACACACAGCAGUACAACAUGUGAGUUUCCCACCCUGAGCGCCGUGUCCGAGGAAAAUGGCCGCCGUGUGAACAUGGUCUAUGACAUCUCUAGAAUCGUGCUGCGAGCAUGACGUUAAAACAUUAGUGUUUCCGGUCCAGCUACACUGACAAAUGUUUUUAAAAAAAGAGUCCUUUGCAGUAGUUCAUAUGAUAACCAUCUACCAUUUGCUGCUUAAAUGUAAAAGUAUUCAGUGUUUGCAUGAAAUGAGAAAUAAAAAUGCACCUGCUAGAGUUUGUUUAGCCGUCAGGAAGCACACGGGGGUCUAGCAACAGGUUGAACUACACUGAGACAUUGCAAUAUGCUUUUUCAGCUAUACAGUUAUUAAGUGCAGUCGUUCCUGUUGCGGACAGCGUUUUUUUGUCCAGGAUACAAGUUUCUUCACCAGCUGCUGCUGCAGUGUAUACCGUGGACCAGUGAAGAAAACUGGGUUAGAGGGGUAAUAUUUCAACAACACAGUGGUCUGAACAUAAAAUACUGUGUGUGUGUGUGUGUGUGUGUGUGUGUGUGUGUGUGUGACUAGCUGCCAGAGGCACCCCAGCAGGAAGCUCUGCAGUCAAAUGAUUUCACAUUCCCUUUUCUCCUUGGCUGCCUGUGCUGCCAUUUACAAAGAGCACCAACAGAGGACGGUCAUACAUGCCUAGAACACGUACACACACACACAUCACACACACAAGCCCCGCUUGCACACACACACACACACACAGUGUCAAAGGCAGAAGACACACACAGGCACAGUAGUCUUUGAUUGUAUUGUUAGAAGCCUAGUGGCAAUCAGUCCACAGUUUCAUGAAUAAACAAAUGACAUUAAGCAUCAGCACUGUAUGUCUAGACGCAGUCACGACGUAGCAGUAAAGAUAAUAACUUUAAUCCUAAUCACCUGUUCAAGGUGAUGGCUUCCUACGUUGCGCGCCAGUAAAACUUUACAUCUCAUCGAAAUACCUUUAGCUGUUUGUUUAAAUUGUUUAAUCUCUUUCAUUAGGAUCUUCACAUUUCACCGCAGCACACACACACACACAUGCACACACGGCAUCAAAGAGGGACGCCCCAAACGCAACACCUCUCCUUUGGUCUCCGUCUCAUGAGCAAGCCUGAAAGUCAAGUGGUGGAGGAUAUUAAAACAGGAGAAGAAGAGCAAGAAGAUCAAAAUUACCAGAGCAGCAGCAAAGCUCCGGGCGCAGAGCCCCGAUGUGUUUCCCCCUUUCUCCCUCUCACUCUUCCCCUCUCAUCUGACGCCACAUGAAGCCUGGCGCAGAGCAAAGAGCCUCGCCUGGAACAUCGCUGCAGCGGCCCAUUAGGAGCAUCCUCCAGACUAAUUGGUGGGAGACGUGGAAGACGAGGAGGAAACAACAACAAGCAACAACAAAAACUUGGGGGGAGGGAGGACGGUGAUGGGCACAUCUUUUAUCCUCAACUUCCCCUUUCUGCUGAUCUGGGCGGUUCCACCGGGGCACAAAUUGGGAUGAGGGAGGAAGUCAAAGAGGGAAAUCUGUUCAGCCAUAAGUUGACAGCUCACGUUCACGCGCUCUCUGUAGCUUUCUGUUAGUCUCUCUUUCUGUCAGUGCACCGUAUCUGUACCUUCACACUUUGUGUUAAACUCUCUCCGUCUAUCUGUCUAUCUCCUUUGGCCAUGUCUUCCUCAUCACAUCGCUCUAAGGUGUCUGCACGCCAUCCUUUGCCUCAUGUCUACCUUUUCACCUGACGCAACACUUAAACAAGUCUUCUGAGAGUGGGUUCACUAUCCUUCAGACAGGACCUCCGUCUUUUGUUGAGGACUGGCUGACAUCACAUGCAGUUAUGACACAUGUAUCCAAAUAUUGCCCCGCGAGCAUGUUCGGCUUCAUCUGUGGUGCAACGUCAGCACUGUUUGCGUCCGACGGGAUGGAGGAACACAAAAGGGCACCUGCUGCAAAGUAAAAAAAGUUAAUGAGUCUGCUUUCACACUUGCACACCUGAAUAAACAGAUAGUGUGUGACAAACA